GCAAGGAAGAGCUCAUCCAGUAGCGCUUCAAUUAUUUGACAUUUCUAUCACCGAUGAAGUUCUCCUUUUAGCUUUGGAAAAUGUUCAGUAUAACAUUUUCAAGUACUGAGCAACUCAUUUUUAUAUCUUCUGACAGCUUUAAGCCAGCUUUUUCUCCUGGGAGCUGAGGCUGUUUGUGUUAGUACACUCAUGGUGCCUGGAUCCAACCUCAUUGCUGAUAUCUAAGAAGUCCGACAUCUCCGUGAAGGUAUUUUAUUGCCAUUUUUAGCAGAAAUGUAUAUAUUCCAUCCUGAUGAGACAAGGUCCGCAUACUUUUCCUUCAGUGGGAAACUGAAAUGCAGGGAAACAGAUCUGAAGUCCAGUCUACCUUUCCUAUGCUUUUUGUUUGCCUCCAUCAGUGUGUACACAGAACUACACAACUGUCAGCAACAUCUGCUCAAGCCACAGAAAGAUUAAGUCAAAGGAAAAUGGAAGCUAUGAGAUGGACCAG
rnacentral:lncRNA from 1 species